rnacentral:tRNA from 1 species
GGGCCCGUAGCUCAGCACGGUUAGAGCGACAGGCUCAUAAUCUACGCCUAGAAGAGAAACCUGUUGGUCAAGGGUUCAAAUCCCUUCGGGCCCA